ACGAUACAAAGCGACAAAUGAUUUUUUGUUGUAUUAUGCGAUCAAUGGUGGUCAAUCUCUAGUAGUUUAUUUCAUAGGUACUCCGGUACUGCCACAUAUAAACUGCCACUCUAACUGCCUCUCUACGGAGAACCAAGAUAAAUAUGUUUUAGGGAAAGUUUCCUAUAGAAUACUGUUUUUAUAGUACAAUUCUUGGCUAAUUUUAAAAUAUGUGGAAAACUGUAACAAUUUCAUUUUCGCCAUUUUAUUGUAUCGUAUAAAAUUUUUACGAACCACCCAUAACAAAGGUGAAAUUUCUAAAAUGAAAAUAAGCGUGUGAUUUUUUAAAAAAUAUGCUGAAUACAGUGAGUGUGCGAUCAAAAAUUCUUUUUGUUUUCGUUUUGCAUUUUAAUUUACACUCAUAUAUGUUCACAGUGUUAAAAAUAGGCAAUAUAACCCUUCAUUUAGAAAAAGGUAUUGUAGCCAUAAAGAACGGAACGAUAAGGAUAGAGAAUACAAACAUAACUUACGAUUUCAAAUUGACCGAAUACAAUUCAACCAAACUAACCGUCAACAAAAAAGACUCUGAGAGUCUUGAUACAGAAAUAGGUUCUAUAGACGUAGACCAUGACUAUAAUAAGAAACCUGAUUAUCACUAUGAGAUGUCUAUCGAAAAGGGCCGGAUAACAUCAACUCAAAGUAAAGAAUCUAUGGAAGAGUUCACUACAACUAAAACUGAUGACCCAUGCGGUCAUGUUUGUAUGGACUUGGCUACGGAUGAUGUUGAACCUGUAUGUAUGAUGUACAGCCGAUAUAAAAGAGGGUAUCAUUGGUUUAUGAACCAUUGUCAUGCUAGACGCACAAUCUGCUUGGAGAAUUUAGAUUUGCAUUUUGUACAUCCAAGCAGAUGUAUGAAGUCGCUGCAAUUUUUUAUGCCAAUAAUAUGAUCGAGAAUUCAAAGUUCUUCUUUUACAGCAUUUGGACAUGAAUAAAAAUAUUUUAUUUAUUAUACACAUAUUUCUCACAUUUUUUUGUGACAUUCAUUCUUGGGGCAAAAAUACAUUCUUUAUAUGUAUGUUUGUUUGAAACGCGAUAACUUUCGAACCGUUGGUUCGAUUUCGAUGAAAUUUAAAAGGUAUGUAGAAUAUGUCAAAAAUAGAAUUUUUAAGUUCGCGGGGCAUCAAAAUCGGCUAGGCUUCAAACAGCUAGUUUAAUUAAAUUGAAAAGUGGUAUACAUUUUAUAUAUAUGGUCCAUAUAUAAAUGAUGGUUAUUUGGCUUCAGUGUUUUCGAAAUUUAGUUCAUCGCGAUGUGGUGUCAUGUUUUUAUGACCGUGAUUUGCUAUGUUUUAACUAUGUAGCUAGUUGAUUGCAUUUCAUUUUAAUAUUUUCUCCGUAAUUGAUUUAUGAAAAUUGUCUAGCCAAUAAGUGUUUUGCAAUGAAUAUAAUUUAUUAGAAAUUAUUACAUACGUCAACACUUUGCAUUAACUUCUAUGAAAAGUUAUGUACCUACCAAGAUAAAAAAAUGAUGAUUAAUAUGUAGUUGACAAUACGUAAUUACUUUUGUUUAAUAAGCGAAAUGAUUUUUCCCAAAAUACUAUUUUACCUCUGUACUGUUUUAUGACCAAAAGUAUUUUUGUAUUCUCUUUAAUAUUUUAUGAAAAUCCGUCUGACCUCUUUUGCAAAGGUACAUAAAAUGCUAACACUGAUGUAACAAAUACUGGGUAAUUAAAUUUAAACUCACGAGUAGGUAUAUCACGAAUGAAUAUUACCAUGUCGAUGGCCUCUUCUAAUCACUUCUUCUCUUUUAAGAAAAGACAGUUUAAUAUGAUUUUUUUUCCAUAACUCACUUUGUGGUAAGUAGUAGCUGAACUCUUCUUGUACGUAUACAAUAUCUGCAUUUAUAGAUUCCGCCCUUUCAUGGCUGGAAGGUUCUCGGACCGUUUUGACUACUGCGGCCGCGCUGUCAUUACAAUUACUAAUCAUAUCUACUAUCAUUAUAUUUAUAUAUUAAUUUUCCAACAACAAAGCAUCAUUUAAAAAAACUUACUUUGCCAAAUUGCAAUUCAAUUCAACUUAUUUGCUUAGCAUUUUUUCUAGUAUUUACGUAAUAUUUAACAGAAGCCUCUUUAAGAUUGAGUUACAUAAAUCCUGAGAGUUUCAUUUUAAAAAAUGAAAUUCCAGACAUGCUUCGGGACUGAUAAACGUAAUAAAAACGCGUGGUAUCUGAUUAGAUAACAGGGUAAUUACCAACGCUCUGUUACAAAAUAAUAACAUAUAGAAGUUUCACUUGAGCAAGGGCGCAGAAGAAUAAAGUAAGAUUACAAUUAUUGCUUCUGACUAUUUUAACAUCAUCUGCAUAUGUUAGUGAUAACAAGUAUGUUAUUCUAUGAAAAUCAAGCUAUCCAAAAUCGUAGUAAAAUUGGCACUAUUUCUGAUGCAUAGAGUUCCGUACAGAGUAACUUGAUAUAGUUAGAUUUAUAGUCACAGUUAUUACUUAUUUGUUAUUUUGGUGGAGAUCUGUGCCACAGGGCCUACCUUCUACAGACUCCAGUCUGCUCCAAUCUGGUAUUUAUGUUUGCAAACUUAAUCCGGUCACGUGGUCCUCCUUUGUCCGACAGAUGAGACGUCAUGAACUUUUUUCCUGUUGGUUCUAUAAACUAAUCGGACUACUGAGAGACUAUCAUUAUCUUAGACCACAUGAUACUACAAAUGGAAAGACUUUAAAUUAAUAUUUAUCGUAUAUGUCUAAUAUUAUCUUUAUUCUAUAAGACCGUCCUCUUGUAAGAUCAUAUAAUCUUCAAUAAACUAUCUAAGUAAAUUCUGUUCUUUCUGUAGUUUAUGAGUUAUAGCGUUCGUCCCUUGAACGAAGAUUUUUGUCAGGUUUGCCCCAAUUAACGAAGUAACGGUAAAUUAACUAUGACUGCGGUUAAUUUAAAAAAAAAUGCUAAGUUUUUUCUUUGCAUAUCUAGUAAAACUCCAGACAGCAAAAUAUACCCAGUAUAUUUUUGUGUAUUAUCAGUCUUAUUAAAUUAUUUAUUUAUUUACUUAUUCAUACAACUACCAUUACAGGUAUACACUUAAUGCGAUAGUGCAGAUUUAUAUACUACUAGCUUUUGCCCGCGGCUGCGCCCGCGUGAAUUUCAUAGCAGAAUCUCAGUAAUUUUUUUAUCGCGUACUCUGUAAGAGCAUCAGCCGCUGCCAUCACGCGCAGCACCAACGCCGCAAAGUGGGCACCGAAAUUCCAUCUGCCAUCAAGGACGAUCCUUAGGUACCGCAUCAUUGGCUCGAUGGUGAUCUGAACCCCGCCAAUCGUCAAGCUGGAUUCUGGCGGGGACCCCUCCGAGGCGGCCCUCAGAGGGGUCCCCGCCAGAAUCCAGCAUGGAAGCACAACGCCUCAGAUUUUUGAAGGGCCACCUCCAGGCCCAGUUGGCAGAUUCGGCGCACCAGUUGCGCUACUCCCGCAGUAGCGAUGCCUAUCGAUAUGUGGCACCACGGGCCGUGACCAGGGUGUCGUCGGCAUUGUGUUAUUCCAACUCUACACCUGGUGGAAUGAUGGCCCGCAGCACCCAGUCAUAUCCGAUGUUCCACAGGAGCGGUCCUAAGACAGAACCCUGUGGAACCUUAUCGAGCAGGGAAUACUAUCAUCCUGUCUGAGAGGUACUCCAGGACGAUCUGGCGCAGGUAGGACUGCACCCCGUGAUAACGGAGUGCCUCCAUAAUGCAAGGCCAGGAGAGGCAGUUGAAGGCGUUGGCGAUGUCCAGAGACACCACCUCGACCACCUCACCCUGGGAGACCGGAUCCUAUGCCAUAGACUUCACCCUCAGAACGGUGUGGACGGUUGACCUCUUCCGGCGAAACGUACUGGCAAUCCGCGAGGUCAGGACCUAUGCUCUCCAGACGCUCCAUGAGGGGGUCAGCAGUGACUCUUUCCAGCAAUUUGCCUGCCUCGUCGAGCACGACGAUUGGACGAAAGCUAGACAGUCGCCGGUCGUCCCUCCUUCCGUAGUAGGACCAAACGUCCCGGUUUCCACGCCUUGGGAAACCUUCCCUGCAUGAAACAGGCUUUAAAGAGCCCCUCAGUCGCUCCCCCAGGAAGUCUAGGAUGAAGACCAACGGUCGACCCGAAAUAUUAAUAAUGGAAUAUCAGACUAUUCCAUUACUAAGGUGUUCCUCGAAUUUCGAAAUUUCGAAACUAAUGAACCUAAUUUCAUAAGUAAAUUUCGAAACUGAAAAUGUAUGAAACUGCAUGUCCAAGUCCCGUCCCAUUUCCCACUACCAGGUUCCUGUUCCUUCCUAUUUCCUGCUCCGACUCCCCACUCCCGUUUUCUGCAACGCGUGUCGUCCCAUUUUCUAUGACGUUUUACGUCCCGGUUUUUUAUUAAUCACAAUCAAAUUAAACAUUUAUUUACUACAAAAAGUAAGUGUGCCAAUUUUCAGCAUUUUAUCUUGAAAAUUGUAUUAAGUCCCAUACAAUCUUUCACCCCCCUUUUGAAGGUUGAGGGUUAAUGAAUUUGUUGUAAAUAACCAAAAUCAAAAUUUUCAUGUCAGUAACUUCAACGGUGUAGAACUUUUGUAUUAACAGUUUUUGACCCCUUUUUCUUUCUACAAAAUUUUAAAGUAAAUCGGCUCCGUGGAUUGUUAUUUUAAUUUUCUUACAGGACCAUCCUCAUUAUCCGGGAUGAAAUGUCUAUAAGAUGUUAACCCGGGAUUCUGAGAAGCGUUGGUGGUGUAAUUGGUUAAGACGCCCGCCUGAAAGGUCACAGGUUCGAAUCCUACUCGUGCCACUUGAAUUUGUAUAUAAAUCUGACUCAUAUAUAAUAGCCACUACUUGCUUCCGGAGAAGGAAAACAUCGUGGGGAAAUCUGCACACUGGUUGAUUAUUAUUAACUUGUGUGUGAAAUGAAAAAAGCAAUGGCAAACUACUCCAUUAAUAAUGUCAAGAAAGUUGUUGUGUGUGUUUCAUUUCAAGUAAUGACCACGACCCUCAGCCAUGAGGAAUACGACUAUGAAGAAGAAGAGACUUACAAAGAUACCACAAUAAAUCUUCAUAGCUCUGUGGUAAACCCUGCGAUGUAACUGGCUUUGAGGCAGCCGGCGGGAUUGGAAUAGAGGGAUUUCCGUUCUUAACCAACGAAAAACGAAUAAAAGGAUGCACCCUAACUGAAUAUAGUGAAUAUAAGCUACACUUGCACUGCACUUCUACAAUACAUUUCUGUAGUAACUACCUUAUUCUCCUAAUCCAACAACCGACGUAAACGAGCUGUUGUUAAAAUAAAUAACAAAGCUUUUAUUGACAACUAGCUUUUGUCCGCGGCUUCCACCGCGUAUUUUAUUUUUCUGUUUGUCCUAAUAGUUAGCUGGAAGAGAAUGCUUCUAGCAUUAAAUUCGCCAUUUGUUAAUAAGUAUGUUUUUACUUGGAACAAUAAAGUAUAAUAAAUAAAUAAAUUUCCCACGGCAGCGGUUAUUUGUUCGAGAUGAAAGUCCUUCUCCGUACUUCAAAUUACAUGUAUGCAAAAUUUCAAGAAGAUUGGUCGAGUUGAUAGAGCACGAAGCAAACAAACUUACUUUCGCGUUUAUAAUAUUAGUUAGGAUUAGUAUCCCAAUAGUCCUACUAAUAUAUUACUUUUAUUUUUUAAUCUAAUUUGUUGCAUUACAUCUUCUGACGCUUUAUUUUCAUUACU